CCUACGGGAGGCAGCAGUCGGGAAUAUUGGGCAAUGGGGGAAACCCUGACCCAGCAACGCCGCGUGAGUGAUGAAGGCCUUCGGGUCGUAAAGCUCUGUCCUUGGGGGACGAAGAAUGACGGUACCCAAGAAGAAAGCCACGGCUAACUACGUGCCAGCAGCCGCGGUAAUACGUAGGUGGCAAGCGUUGUCCGGAAUUACUGGGCGUAAAGGGCGAGUAGGCGGUAACACAAGUCAGAUGUGAAAGGCGAGGGCUCAACCCUCGGAUUGCAUUUGAAACUGUGUAACUUGAGUGCGGUAGAGGAAAGUGGAAUUCCCAGUGUAGCGGUGAAAUGCGUAGAUAUUGGGAGGAACACCAGUGGCGAAGGCGACUUUCUGGGCCGUAACUGACGCUGAGGCGCGAAAGCGUGGGGAGCGAACAGGAUUAGAUACCCCUGGUAGUCCACGCCGUAAACGAUGGAUGCUAGGUGUGGGAGGUAUCGACCCCUUCCGUGCCGGAGUUAACGCAAUAAGCAUCCCGCCUGGGGAGUACGACCGCCAAGGUUGAAACUCAAAGGAAUUGACGG
rnacentral:rRNA from 1 species